rnacentral:rRNA from 1 species
GACGAACGCUGGCGGCGUGCUUAACACAUGCAAGUCGAACGGAAAGGCGCUGCUUUUGUGGGGUGCCCGAGUGGCGAACGGGUGAGUAACACGUGAGUAACCUGCCCUUGACUGUGGGAUAACUUCAGGAAACUGGGGCUAAUACCGGAUAGGAGCUCCUGCUGCAUGGUGGGGGUUGGAAAGUUUCGGCGGAUGGGGAUGGACUUGCGGCUUAUCAGCUUGUUGGUGGGGUAGCGGCCUACCAAGGGAUUGACGGAUAGCCGGCCUGAGAGGGUGAACGGCGACAUUGGUACUGAGGUAGGGACCAGACUCGUACGGGAGGCAACAGUGGGGAAUAUUGCACAGUGAGCGGGAGCCUGAUGCAGCGACGCCGCGUGCGGGAUGACCGCCUUCGGGUUAUAAACCGCUUUCGCCUAUGACGAAGCGUGAGUGACGGUAAUAAGUAAAUAAGCACCGGCUAACUACGUG